GCUAGCUUAUCGUGCAGACUGCUUUUUCGCUAGAUCGCGUUAACUAUUAUCCCGAUCCUCGAGAAGCGCUAGAUCGAAUUGUGUGUCUUAUUUUCUCCGAGACUACGGAUAAUCCGAGGUCCUUCGUGCGUCAUCGCCUUGAACCUGUUUAUCUUGCGACUACGUCACCUCGCCUGCGAAGGAGAUGUCCUGGGGCUUGAGCUGAUUCCCGAGAGUGAAUGGAAUCGACAAACCCUUUCCCCUUGGGUUCGUUCUUGUUGUCAUGUGCGUCUUCGGCGCAGCUCUGACAUGUAUCGCCGAACUUUUAAUCCCAGCGAGCCCCUGACUGACUUGGGCGGUUAUCUUGCGCCGAUGUUGGAGAAAGGCGCUACCUUUGAGCGUCUUCGAUUGCGCCUAACCCCUGGCGAAACGGGCUUGUAUUUUAACUUAAACGUCCCUGUUUGGUAUAAUGCAGCCUUGAGUUCGGCUCUGGCGUCCGCUCUUCAGGUGCAGCCGGUCACUCCUGCUUUACUUAACGCUCUUGUGGGCCUGAACGGCUAUGUGAAUUCGAUGUUGUCCCAUACGGCAGUCAAUUUGCUGAUCCGAAGGCCGGUCCCUUGUAUGAAAUGAAUAUGGAGGCCGUGGCUGAACUUACGCCCCUGCUAGCUGACGAUCCGUGGAACAAUAGCCCCGACCGCAACCUUGGCGUGGUUCCGAAGAUGGUUGGCAUUAACAACUUACCCUUUUAUCUGUCUGGGGACGGGUCCUACACCCCCAAACACCCUGAAGACGGAUAUUUGAACAGCUGCAAUCUAAUCCACUGAGGUCUUCCCGGAUCCUGCAAGAUUUGGCUGUUUGUUAAUAGAUGCGAUAACAAACGGCUGAUGAAGGCAGUGGUAAAGGAGAUUACUGCGUGGCGGGAAGCUGGGUGUAAGUUGGCAGCCGUGGGUAAGGGGUGCUCCCUGCCAUUUCACCUUAAGGUCUGGGCCCUGCCCACGGAUCUCCUGGGCCGACAUGGAAUCCGCUACCAGUCCCUCAGACCGGAGCCCGGGGAUCUGGUCUUCGUGGGCCACGGUGUCUACCACCAGGUGGUGAAUUUCGGGGCCACUCUCUUCCCCCACCACGCACUCUUGGCCGUGCAUAAUAGUAUGCUCGCACAGCUCAGCUCUUCCCUUAAAUAUCAGCCGCACUUAUUUACACACGCUGCAAGUGGCUAUCGGGUUUUCUCGGAUUUCGGACGCUCUAAUAUAGCAGUACCUUUUCAUGGUACUUCAAUUUUUUCGCGUCAACUAGAUGACGUGACUUUUUUAAUAUGCGCAAAACGUUUGCAGGUAAUAUUAUUGACUUAUUGCGGUAAACAUUAUCACUGUAUAACAGGCCCUAGCGUAAACCUCGAUUUACCGCACGCUCGUGCAAAAAUGUACUCUCUAAAUCUUGGAUUACGCACGUUGUGUCAUAAAAUAUUGUACGAUA